CAGUUACUCUCGAACUUUAGAUAAAAAAUGGAAAACCAUUUUAGUAUAAGUAUAUCCCAUGUCAUAUCUGGGACAUACUUAUACUAAAAAUGAUCUGUUCAACUGAAAUUCAAACAAAACU
rnacentral:miRNA from 1 species